CGUUCACAACAACCGUUCCAUAGUUCCUAGAUCUAGAAUUUCAUUUCAUCAGUCAUUGCAUUUUAGGUUAAUUUUUUUUUCUUUCUCUUUCGUUUAAUUUCUCAGCACGAUGCCUCCCGGGCUUCUCUGAUAUAUCUAAUGACUCGAAAGCCCUAAGCACGUGCUAGAUCUUCGCCGUUCGUGUUGCAAUUCAGCCUAGUUUUCACGGCUAAUCUGUGUCA
rnacentral:lncRNA from 1 species